UUACGGUGAUAUCACGCUGAAACACCGAUUCUUGUACGAUCACCGAAAUGAAGCAACGUCGAGCUUGGUCAGUACUUGGGUGGGUGACCACUUGGGAAUACUAUGUGUUGUAAG